AGUGAACGCUGGCGGUAGGCCUAACACAUGCGAGUCGAACGGCAGCACAGUAAGAGCUUGCUCUUACGGGUGGCGAGUGGCGGACGGGUGAGGAAUACAUCGGAAUCUACUUUUUCGUGGGGGAUAACGUAGGGAAACUUACGCUAAUACCGCAUACGACCUACGGGUGAAAGCAGGGGAUCUUCGGACCUUGCGCGAUUGAAUGAGCCGAUGUCGGAUUAGCUAGUUGGCGGGGUAAAGGCCCACCAAGGCGACGAUCCGUAGCUGGUCUGAGAGGAUGAUCAGACACACUGGAACUGAGACACGGUCCAGACUCCUACGGGAGGCAGCAGUGGGGAAUAUUGGACAAUGGGCGCAAGCCUGAUCCAGCCAUACCGCGUGGGUGAAGAAGGCCUUCGGGUUGUAAAGCCCUUUUGUUGGGAAAGAAAAGCAGCAGGUUAAUACCCCGCUGUUCUGACGGUACCCAAAGAAUAAGCACCGGCUAACUUCGUG
rnacentral:rRNA from 1 species